UCGAACGGGCACUUCGGUGCUAGUGGCAGACGGGUGAGUAACACGCGGGAACGUACCUUUCGGUUCGGAAUAAUACAGGGAAACUUGUACUAAUACCGGAUACGCCCUUCGGGGGAAAGAUUUAUCGCCGAUAGAUCGGCCCGCGUCUGAUUAGCUAGUUGGUGAGGUAAUGGCUCACCAAGGCGGCGACGGGUAGCCGGCCUGAGAGGGUGACCGGCCACACUGGGACUGAGACACGGGCCCAGACUCCUACGGGAGGCAGCAGUGGGGAAUAUUGCACAAUGGGCGAAAGCCUGAUGCAGCGACGCCGCGUGAGGGAUGACGGCCUUUCGGGUUGUAAACCUCUUUCAGCACGGAAGAAGCGAAAGUGACGGUACGUGCAGAAGAAGCGCCGGCUAACUACGUGCCAGCAGCCGCGGUAAUACGUAGGGCGCAAGCGUUGUCCGGAAUUAUUGGGCGUAAAGAGCUCGUAGGCGGUUUGUCGCGUCUGCUGUGAAAGCCCGGGGCUUAACCCCGGGUGUGCAGUGGGUACGGGCAGACUUGAGUGCAGUAGGGGAGACUGGAAUUCCUGGUGUAGCGGUGAAAUGCGCAGAUAUCAGGAGGAACACCGAUGGCGAAGGCAGGUCUCUGGGCUGUUACUGACGCUGAGGAGCGAAAGCAUGGGGAGCGAACAGGAUUAGAUACCCUGGUAGUCCAUGCCGUAAACGUUGGGCACUAGGUGGUGGGGAACAUUCCACGUUUUCCGCGCCGUAGCUAACGCAUUAAGUGCCCCGCCUGGGGAGUACGGCCGCAAGGCUAAAACUCAAAGGAAUUGACGGGGGCCCGCACAAGCGGCGGAGCAUGCGGAUUAAUUCGAUGCAACGCGAAGAACCUUACCUGGGUUUGACAUACACCCUGCCGCUCCAGAGAUGGGGCUUCUUUUUGGGGGUGUACAGGUGGUUGCAUGGCUGUCGUCAGCUCGUGUCGUGAGAUGUUGGGUUAAGUCCCGCAACGAGCGCAACCCUCGUUCUAUGUUGCCAGCACGUAAUGGUGGGGACUCAUAGGAGGCUGCCGGGGUCAACUCGGAGGAAGGUGGGGAUGACGUCAAGUCAUCAUGCCCCUUAUGUCCAGGGCUUCACGCAUGCUACAAUGGCCGGUACAAAGGGCUGCGAUCCCGUAAGGGGGAGCGAAUCCCAAAAAGCCGGUCUCAGUUCGGAUUGGGGUCUGCAACUCGACCCCAUGAAGUCGGAGUCGCUAGUAAUCGCAGAUCAGC
rnacentral:rRNA from 1 species